GUUAAAAGCUAGGGCUAGGACUUGGAGGAUGUGUAGGCAAACGGAAGGAGAGCCGGGGGAAGAAAAACCGAAAUGGAUUCAUUCUCUGUCCUGGAUGGAGGAGGAGAGGAGAAGAGAAGGGGACGUGCGAGCUUCCUUCAACUGCCUCUGUCCGGUGAAAAGUGCUCAGACCCCCGGGGCUGAGUGUUCUAGGGACUGC
rfam:Leptosomus discolor contig9602, whole genome shotgun sequence.